ACUCAAGUAGCUUAAAUAAAAGCGUUACAUUGAAGACGUAAUUAUGGCAUCAGCCCUAGAGUA
rnacentral:tRNA from 1 species